rnacentral:rRNA from 1 species
AUUGAACGCUGGCGGCAGGCCUAACACAUGCAAGUCGAACGAGUGGCGGACGGGUGAGUAAUGUCUGGGAAACUGCCUGAUGGAGGGGGAUAACUACUGGAAACUGUAGCUAAUACCGCAUACCAUCGGAUGUGCCCAGAUGGGAUUAGCUAGUAGGUGGGGGAACGGCUCACCUAGGCGACGAUCCCUAGCUGUUCUGAGAGGAUGACCAGCCACACUGGAACUGAGACACGGUCCAGACUCCUACGGGAGGCAGCAGUGGGGAAUAUUGCGCAAUGGGGGCAAGCCUGAUGCAGCCAUGCCGCGUGUAUGAAGAAGGCCUUCGGGUUGUAAAGUACUUGCAGCGGGGAGGCGUUACUCGCAGAAGAAGCACCGGCUAACUCCGUGCCAGCAGCCGCGGUAAUUC